CUCCUCCUCAAUACCAUCUUGAAAGCAUUGGAUCUCCUCGAAUCUUGGAAGCUAAGCAGUGUCGAGCCUAGUUAGUGGAUCUCCUCGAGUCUUGGAAGCUAAGCAGU
rnacentral:rRNA from 1 species